UCAAGAGAUUCAAGCAAUUUAAAUUCCAUCCAAAAGGAGCUCUCAACGUUGCAGGAACAGAUGGAUCAAAAAGACAACGGGAUAUUUCUGGAAGGAGGCAGCUGGUCGGAGAAGGAGGGUCAGUGAUGAAGCCCGUACAUUGUCAGUGACAGAUGGUGCCUUGCCGAUUGAAAAGAUUCAUCACCACUUUGUGUUGAACACGUUGUGGAGAGAAACCUGCGUCAUCCAG